UCCAGAAAGUAAGUUCCUUGAAAGUCAAAAGAGCUGUUUGGUUUCAGAGAUCGAUAAAGGAAUAGCAAAUUCCACAGGCUGAAAUGUGGAAAUUGUGUCUUUUUGAGAAAUAAGAUUUACGCUGCAGGAAAAUAAAGGGCUAGGAGUGGCAUGACAUGAGAUUGCAAGAAAAAGUAAGGAAAGAGUGCAAGAGAGAGAGAGAGGGAUGGGCCUGGAUUCUUUAAGGUUUAGUGGGAGAAAGAAGAGGUAGAGAGGCAGUGAUUGGAAAAGGCAGCCGGAGGAUACGAGUGGUGCCCAAAUGGUGUCCUCUCUUCGGAGACACAGGAGAGACGUGAUCCACACAGAGAACGCAAUGCCCAGGGACACAGACGGAGAGGUACGCAUCUGAGGUGGGGUCCCGGUGGCGUCUACAGGAAGGAAGCCAUUAGUACGCAGUGUGAAGAAAGAGGCCGUGGGAUGCAGCUGCCCGUCGCUUGGGAGGAAGAGGUUCAAGACCUCAGACAGGACGGGAGUAAUACGACCCUCUGUAGUAGCUGAGACAGACCUUAGAAAAACUUCCUACCGCUUCAUCUCAUGAACAUUUCCUGCUAAUGGACUUGCCCUGGAAGGGGCACCCACUAGUCUUGCUACCUUUAACUAGAGCGUAAUAUAUACUUCUUUGAACCAACAUAUUAGUUUUGGGGAUUUGUUCAUACAAUCACGGAUAAUGUUUGCACUCCAUCUUUUAAUCGCUAGUGCACAGCAGCAUUUGUGCACACAAUUAUAAACACUUUAAACAACAAAGUUGAUUCCAGCAGUGAUAUCGGUGAAAAGCCGCUACCAAUCAGACAUAAAGAAUUGCUCUAAAUGAGACCGGGAUAACAAGGACCGGGAGUCUUGAGACAUCUUCCUCUGCUGAUGAGAGGACACCGGCUCUUUGGCUACCGCUGGGCUCCCUAACAUCUGCACAGGCAAUUUAAACCCACUGCAGACUGCAAAGGUUAAACCACUAAAAUCUAAUAUUUGCCUGGAGGGGGUCAUGGCGCUGCAAUUACUAGGUACAAUCGCCAGAGCUAAUCAGCUCGCCUGGCUUGCAGGGGGCCGGGGUUGGCGAACGAGCCCAUGAUCAGAGUCUCUGUCCUCUCGCUGUUCUGUUUACUUAUUAAACUCCAUCUUGUGUUCAAGGAGCCCUCUGCACAGUGGGCAAAUUUAGCUCCCAACACUCUCAGAUAUCGCCACACUUCACAAGAACUCGCGUUAAUCAGUAGUUUUGUUCUUUGGUCUGUGAGAGAAAAGGGAUAAAUCUGCCAGUUAUUAAGAAAUAUAAUGCUCUUCACAUAAGACAAUCUACCGAUGAUGUGGACCUGACCUGAGAAUGAGUUCAGAGAUGUUUUUGUUCAUACUUUGUGAAGUAGUUGCUGUAUACAGUAUAUUCCUUAUAUUCUCUUUACAAAACCAAAUAUAGGAUUAGAGCAUGAUGCAUUAUGAUUGUCUAGUCUACACCCCUUUUGAACGAGGCUCGGGGAACAAUUACGGGGUAAUUAAAUAUGUGCCAGUACAGAAAAAAAAGAUAAUUAUGUCCUUUGUGUAUUACACCAAUUAAUUACUAUUAUUUCUGGGAUUAAAGCCUUUAAUGACUUGAGAAUCUGCACAUACAACACUUGCGAGUGCACUUCAGAUGUCUAACCAGGUUUUCUACAUUACUUUUCUUCAUCUUUUUUUUCUUCAUGCAUUUCUGGCAGGUCACGUGUUUGAUGUUUAAGUUUACACUGUCCGUCUGGCCAACAUUGAGCAGAUUAGUUGAAUCUCUGCCAUCUGGGCUUGGCGAAUGAACACCUGGAGUUGUCCUAACCAGGGCUGCUGUAGAGCACCUUUGAGCUUUUUAUCCUUAGAGUUACAGAAGCCAUUUAGGCUACCAACCACUUUCUUUCACAGCAAGACUUAAUAUUGGCUUGUUUUGUCUUGAGAUUGAAGUCAGUUAUAGUAUCUUCUGUUUUAUUGUAGAAAACCCAGUGAACCUGCUGCACAUGCAUGCAAACAAACUUUCACUCACUCUCUCACACUUACUCUUCUUAUCUGGAAAAGAUUUUCCAGUGCUGCAUUACUGAUCUCUGUUUAGGCAAAAGAGCUGUGGCAUCCAUUCACAGUGAUCUAUGUAUUGGCUUUAGGCAGUAAUACCUAACCUAGGAUGUGUGGGUCCAAUUAUCAGUAAUCUAUUAAACCCUGAAACCUAUAAAUGGUUACACUGCAACCCUCUGACCUAAAGACGGCUCAGAUGCUCUAUGUUCUAAAUCCCUACCUGGUUAAUGAGACACUGAACCCAACAGCCCCUCUUCCAGCUCCCCUGCCCCCCUCCCAGGGCCUAUUAUGAUACUGUAAUUGCAUUUUCCUUCUUGUUCAAGAGCUGCUGAUACUUUGCUAAUCAAUGGACGUAUAGGAAAACGCAUCUAUCCAAACCAAGGGAUGAUCUCUGGAAUGGGAUGUCACUUGCAUGCCUGUGUUUUGGGACAGUGGGUGUCAUGCGGGCUGCUGCCCCUCCUGGUGUAAGCAUUAUUGACAAAUCGAUCAAGGAGGUGAUGCAUCAGCUAUCUACAAGCCCGCUCCAAGCCGCCAAAUCUCUGACAUGCUGUCACCUUGGUAACUGCUGCUGAAGUGAAUGGCCUGCUGGGAUAGCUGACCUCGGUUGGCGGACCGCCAUGACGCAAAGGCAGGCGUGUGGUUGGAGAUGUCACCAGACCUCUGAGGACCAUCGAUCCCCCCAACAUCUCCACCACAAUCCUUCCUGAUCCAGGCUAAAUUUAUUCCUCUCAAACAAGAGCGUGGCAACUUAACAUUUGUGAUCGGACCGCAUGUGGAAGCCAUGGAUUUGAGUGAUUAAUGGAUCUCCAAUUAUCCUCAGUCUGGGAGGCAGCUGCAAAACAGAGACUCGGGAUAAAAUGCAAAGUCACACUGUGUUGAGAAGGACUUAACUACUAAAAACUGCAACAAACUACCAACAUUUACCUUAAGGCCUCACACUGUUAAUAUUAGCAAAUUACUUUCUGUAUUUUGGACGAAACAAAUCUUAUGGCUUGGGUAAAGGCUUCUUGCAAAAACUUGUUAAAAAAAGAAGCAAU